CCUACGGGAGACAGCAGUGGGGGAUAUUGCACAAUGGGGGGAACCCUGAUGCAGCGACGCCGCGUGGGUGAAGGAGUAUUUCGGUAUGUAAAGCCCUAUCGGCAGGGAAGAAUUUAGACGGUACCUGACUAAGAAGCCCCGGCUAACUACGUGCCAGCAGCCGCGGUAAUACGUAGGGGGCAAGCGUUAUCCGGAUUCACUGGGUGUAAAGGGAGCGUAGACGGCCAGGCAAGCCUGGAGUGAAAGCCCGGGGCCCAACCCCGGGACUGCUCUGGGAACUGUCCGGCUGGAGUGCGGGAGGGGCAGGCGGAAUUCCUGGUGUAGCGGUGAAAUGCGUAGAUAUAAGGAAGAACACCAGUGGCGAAGGCGGAUGACUGGACGGCAACUGACGGUGAGGCGCGAAAGCGUGGGGAGCAAACAGGAUUAGAUACCCUAGUAGUC
rnacentral:rRNA from 1 species